UACCGGCGGCUCGAGUGGUGGCCACUAUUACUGGGCUUAAAGGGUCCGUAGCUUGAGCAAUAAGUCCCUUGGGAAAUUCAGCAGCUUAACUGGUGAUAGUUCAGGGGACACUGUUGUUCUAGGGAUCGGGAGAGGUAAGAGGUACUGCCGGGGUAGGAGUGAAAUCCUGUAAUCCCGGUGGGACCACCGAUGGCGAAGGCAUCUUACCAGAACGACUCCGACAGUGAGGGACGAAAGCUGGGGGAGCAAA
rnacentral:rRNA from 1 species